UGAUGGAGAGAGCUAAGGAAGACAGAGUGUAGUUUAGUCAGCUGAAAGGCAAGACAAGAUAACAGAACAGGGAAUACAGAUCAUCUGGCAAAGAGAUUUGCAGAGUGUCGGGUGACCGGCAAAGAGAUCUGCAAAGUGUCAGUUGAAGACGACGGGAGGGGUCGCAGAGGAAUUAGUGACUCAAGAAUAGCAUGCAGGAAUUGGUGAUCCCUGAAUAGCUGCCCUGGGAGGAGAGCUGAGGACACAUACUCCAAAUGUUAGGUCAUAUGCAUUACCUACUAGGAGAUGCGGUAAAGAUGCCGGCUGUCGGGUUUACGGCAGUCAGAAUACUGACACUGGAAUCCCGACACUCUUCAGAAUCCCGACGUU